GGGUAUAUGUGGAUAUGUGAAUAUAGUAGAAGUGCAUGAUGUCAUUGACUACGACAGAGUCAAAAUCCGGACAGAGAGAUCAUGUCAAAAAAAGGAGCAUGGACACAUUUGUAAAUGCACAGACGGUGUAUCUUGUGAAGAUGGUAUUCAUGUUGAGAAGAAUAACCUUACAUGGAGUGCAGCCAAUGAAACUUGUACUCUUAUCAAAGUUAACGAUGUAAGUUUUGCAUCAAUCUACAAAACCAUCAAUGGCCCAGACGCAUACUGGAUUGGUUUAAGACGUUUCCGAUACAUCGGCUGGGUUGAACGUGAUGGGAGUAUCGAUGUACCCGAUACAGGUAGCAAUGGCUGUGUCUGGGCUGAACGACUUGGAGAUGGCUCUGUUGUGUUUGGUGUUACCGGAUGUGCAACGAAAUAUAAGCCAGUCUGCACAGAAGAUGCCAUCUCCAACAAAAUAUCUACUUCUUACAGCACCAGUGACCAGACUCCAGUGCCAAACACAGCUCGAAAUACAGAGAACUAUUCGAAACCGUUAUCAGACACACAGACUCAG